CCUACGGGUGGCUGCAGUGGGGAAUAUUGGACAAUGGGGGGAACCCUGAUCCAGCCAUGCCGCGUGUGUGAAGAAGGCCCUCGGGUUGUAAAGCACUUUCAGUGAGGAAGAACGCCUGGUGGUUAAUACCCAUCAGGAAAGACAUCACUCACAGAAGAAGCACCGGCUAACUCCGUGCCAGCAGCCGCGGUAAUACGGAGGGUGCGAGCGUUAAUCGGAAUUACUGGGCGUAAAGCGCGCGUAGGUGGCUUGAUAAGCCGGUUGUGAAAGCCCCGGGCUCAACCUGGGAACGGCAUCCGGAACUGUCAAGCUAGAGUGCAGGAGAGGAAGGUAGAAUUCCCGGUGUAGCGGUGAAAUGCGUAGAGAUCGGGAGGAAUACCAGUGGAGAAGGCGGCCUUCUGGACUGACACUGACACUGAGGUGCGAAAGCGUGGGUAGCAAACAGGAUUAGAUACCCUUGUAGUC
rnacentral:rRNA from 1 species